rnacentral:tRNA from 1 species
AAUAACAUAGUUUAAGUGUAGAUGAUUACUUUGCGUGUAAUCGGUGAGUGAUUCUGUUGUUA